CUAGCUUGCUAGAUCUAGCGAGUGGCGAACGGGUGAGUAAUACGUAAGCAACCUGCCUACAAAGACUGGGAUAACACUUGGAAACGAGCGCUAAUACCGGAUAGGUAAUGGGAAGGCAUCUUCCUAUUAUUAAAGGUUUGAAACACUAGUAGAUGGGCUUACGGCGCAUUAGCUUGUUGGUGAGGUAACGGCCCACCAAGGCGAUGAUGCGUAGCCGGACUGAGAGGUUGAACGGCCACAUUGGGACUGAGACACGGCCCAGACUCCUACGGGAGGCAGCAGUAGGGAAUUUUCGGCAAUGGGCGCAAGCCUGACCGAGCAAUGCCGCGGUGAGUGAUGAAGGUUUUCGGAUUGUAAAACUCUGUUGUAAGGGAAGAACGGCUCGGAUAGACUCCGAGAUUGACGGUACCUUACCAGAAAGCCACGGCUAACUACGUGCCAGCAGCCGCGGUAAUACGUAGGUGGCGAGCGUUAUCCGGAAUUAUUGGGCGUAAAGGGUGCGCAGGCGGCCUGUUAAGUUUAAGGUGAAAGCGUGGGGCUCAACCCCAUAUAGCCUUAGAUACUGGCAGGCUAGAGUACUGGAGAGGAAAGUGGAAUUCCAUGUGUAGCGGUAAAAUGCGUAGAUAUAUGGAGGAACACCGGUGGCGAAGGCGACUUUCUGGACAGUAACUGACGCUCAGGCACGAAAGCGUGGGGAGCAAAUAGGAUUAGAUACCCUAGUAGUCCACGCUGUAAACGAUGAAUGCUAAGUAUUGGGGUGACUCAGUGCUGCAGUUAACGCAAUAAGCAUUCCGCCUGUGGAGUAUACACGCAAGUGUGAAACAUAAAGGAAUUGACGGGGGCCCGCACAAGCGGUGGAGUAUGUGGUUUAAUUCGACGCAACGCGAAGAACCUUACCAGGCCUUGACAUCCCUUGCAAAACUAUAGAGAUAUAGC
rnacentral:rRNA from 1 species